CAUCUCUCAUCUUUCAUCUUUCAUCUCUAAGGAGAGAGGAAUUUCAAUCAUACAACCAAGAUAAGAAGCCUUAGUUGUGGUCUCACUGGUGCCCUCUUAACGAUCUCAAAGGCAACUCCAAGGUUUUCUACCUUUGACAAAGAACCUUUGUGAAUUAUAUAGGCCAUGGGUUGCAUGAGUUCUAAAAGGGUAAUCUAUGUGACCCCACCACGUCCAACUCAAAGCUAUGGUGGCCAACCUCCAGAGCCAGAAAGGAAGUUUGAGAACAUAGACGAGGUUACGACAGCCUUAGCACUUGAUGGCCUAGAAACUUCAAAUCUUAUUCUUGGCAUUGAUUUUACCAGGAGCAAUAAGUGGACAGGUGCAACGUCAUUUCAUGGGAGGAGCUUGCAUCAUAGUGGUGAUGAACAGAACCCUUAUGAACAAGCAAUAUCAGUUAUUGGAAGAACAUUAUCUGGCUUUCAUGACAAUAACUUAAUUCCUUGUUUUGGAUUUGGAGAUGCUUCAACGCUUGACCGAGACAUCUUUAGUUUCUAUCCAGAUAAAAGAAUUUGCAAUGGAUUUGAGGAAGUGCUGAAACGAUAUAAAGAAUUAGUCCCUCACCUAAAGCUUUCCGGACCAACAUCAUUUGCUCCCAUCAUUGAAAUGGCCAUCACUAUUGUUGAGCAAAGUGACUGCCAAUACCAUGUUUUAGUAAUAAUAGCAGAUGGACCGGUGACAGGAGCUAAGGGUAGUUGGGAUCCAAGCCCCCUGGAAGAGGAAACUAUUAACGCUAUUGUGAAUGCAAGAGAAUAUCCAUUGACAAUAAUUGUAGUUGGAGUUGGAGAUGGACCAUGGGACACGAUGAAGAACGUUCUUGGGCACCCUUCUGUUAGGAACUAUAAGAAUUUCCAGUUUGUGAAUUUUACAGAAAUUAUGUCGAAGGAUAUGGACAUAUCUAGGAAAGAAGCAGCGUUUGCUCGAGCAGCCUUGAGGGGAAUACCAUCACAAUAUAAAGCAACAUUAAAGCGUCAAAAAUUGGGUCGUCCUAGUGGGCAGGCUAUAGUCAGGGUUCCUCUGCCCCCGCCACCCACAUCAAAACAUCCACAGCCUAGCAGUUUCCACCCAAGUGAAUCUGAUUUCGAUGGACAUAAUGUGCCCACCGGGACAAGUCAGCCUGCAAGUUCUAUGUCAGAUGAUCAUUAGGUUUGCUCAAAUCUGCUUCAUUAAUCCAAAGAAUAUGGCAUUUGGUUGCGGAUAUCAGACUUGCAGCGAUUGUGAGGAAGAUCUUCAGUUAUGUCCCAUCUGUCAAAGCACCAUCCAAACCGGGUUAAAACUUUAUUUAAAUGUCAUCUAAUAUUGUGGAAACAUUGCUCAUCACAUCUUGUGAUAUGUACAUAUUUUAACUUUUUGAUUCAUGUGAGACGUUUGUUUGUGCACUAUAUCUUUUCUAUUGAUGAGCUUUGUAAAUUUGUAAUCUACUUUCGAGUGCCUGAGGUCUUUGUUUCACCUUGUGAUGAAGUGAGAUAUCUAUAGGAUCAUAAGUUCUGUGCUGGCUUAAAUCGCUUAA